AUUCUUUUACAAAUGAUGAACAAA
rnacentral:snRNA from 1 species